rnacentral:rRNA from 1 species
GACGAACCGUGCGAACGUUAUUCGGAAUCACUGGGCUUAAAGGGCGCGUAGGCGGGCCCGUCAGUCAGGGGUGAAAUCCCACGGCCCAACCGUGGAAGUGCCUCUGAUACUGCGGGCCUCGAGGGGAGUAGGGGCGUGCGGAACUCAGGGUGGAGCGGUGAAAUGCGUAGAUAUCCUGAGGAACACCGGUGGCGAAAGCGGCGCGCUGGA